GAUGAACGCUAGCUACAGGCUUAACACAUGCAAGUCGAGGGGAAACGAUAUUGGAAGCUUGCUUUCGUUGAUGGCGACCGGCGCACGGGUGAGUAACGCGUAUCCAACCUGCCCUUGUCCAUCGGAUAACCCGUCGAAAGGCGGACUAACACGAUAUGCAGUUCUCAGCAGGCAUCUAACGAGAACGAAAUGUGAAGGAGAAGGAUGGGGAUGCGUCUGAUUAGCUUGUUGGCGGGGUAACGGCCCACCAAGGCGACGAUCAGUAGGGGUUCUGAGAGGAAGGUCCCCCACAUUGGAACUGAGACACGGUCCAGACUCCUACGGGAGGCAGCAGUGAGGAAUAUUGGUCAAUGGGCGCAGGCCUGAACCAGCCAAGUCGCGUGAGGGAGGACGGUCCUACGGAUUGUAAACCUCUUUUGUCGGGGAGUAACGUGCGGGACGCGUCCCGUAUUGAGAGUACCCGAAGAAAAAGCAUCGGCUAACUCCGUG
rnacentral:rRNA from 1 species